AAAUAAAAUUGAUACUUAAGGUUUAGAUCCGUGUUUACUUUCAAACGAACUGCUGACUUGUAAAAAUUUGACGUUCGCUGACAUUUACUACCUCGUCCACAAUCCCUAUCCAUUCACCGGAAGGCAUUUAAAAGCACUGAAGCCUACCGCUACUUCACCUCAGGAUGGGUUAAUGAUCCCGGAAUCUAUCAUCUGGAGAUGAAGAAAAUGUUCUCGAUAACAGGAAGGGUGAAGCAUUCACAAAGCCUCAGUUUAACACCAACAUACCACUGGAUAACAGUACAGGAAGAUGGGACAGUUCUCAGAUAUUUUGAAGAAUGUCAUCAACCAAACAGUAAACUGGAACCAUUGACUUCCAUAGUAGGAAAAAAAUUACCAUGGAAGUCAAUGGUUCCAGUUUGGUUACUGACAUUCUUCAAAAUAUCUUCCUUUGUGUUCUCCUGUAGAAAGAAAUGCAUGCAGGUUUGAAACAACUUGAGGGUGAGAAUGAUGACAGAAUUUUCAUUUUAAAGUGAACUAUUCCUUUAAUGAAGUUCAUAUCUUCAUUAAGUGUUAGUUUUCAAUCAGUAGUUUAAAAUGCAUUAUUCAAUAACAUUCGGUUAAGUUACUAUUUGUGAGCCGGGCACAGGGUUUCUGGUAGGAAUAAAUAUUUGCACAGUAGAAAUGCAGUUUGAAUCUACAACCUAAUUACCCAUGUGGUUUAUAAUGUAUAUGGGAUUUUUUAUGAAUGAUUUGAUUAUUACGAAUGAUUAACAAUAAACAGAAUGAGAACAGAA